ensembl:lncRNA
GGGAGAAAUGACUCAUCAGAGCAUGUGGAAUCUCAUAUGGCUAUCACAGGAUCGAGGUUUUCUCUUCCUCCUCGCUGCUGCCUGCCUGUUCAUGACUCUGUCUGAGGUAAGUGAAGACUGCCCACUCUGUCUGUCUCCAGCAACAACCUGCGUCCACAGGGACAGCAAAUUGCAGUGCAAAAUGAUCCUCGAGAGCUGCUGGAAAAAAACUUUUGAACAUCUUCGGAUAAGAACAUAUUGUAGAACUGCAUAUGUUUUUAUAAACUCCAGAGCAAGGCCCCCUAAACACACAUACAGUGGUCCUAAAAAUGAUUUGGCCAUUAGUGAAUUGACAAAAUUACUUUUAAUAAUUUAAUAAUCUUUUUAUGAACCAUUUAAACUGUUUUUGCCAUGACUAUUAAGCAACUGGUGUCAGAGUUAUUAUUGGCUGCAUCCAAAAUCUGGACUUGUUGCCUCUCUGCCCUAUCAGGCAAUGACGUUAUAGGCGGUGUUUGUGUGUGAAGGUGCGUAAUGAAACUGAUUGUGGACAGUCUACUGAUGCAGCAUAAUGGUCCAAUGAUCUACAACAAAACAGAGAGAGCUUUGCCCAACUGUCACAAAUGUGCCCAGGAUAGUGGGAUAUUAGUGAAGGAUGUGACCCAAUCAUUGGAUUUGGACAAGCCUUGUUUCCUCCAUAUGCUGCAUGCGGAAAAGUAUGGUUGAUCUGUAUUUUGUUGCAAAAUGCAAAGACAUUUCUACAUUUUUAGGGUCUAUUAUGUGUAUAUAUAUAGAUAUAUAUGCACUACCAGUCAAAAGUUUGGAAUAAGUCUUUAUUUUUCAUAUUUUUGAAAGAAGUGCCUUAUGCUCACCAAGUCUGCAUUUAUUUGACCCAAAAAUACUUAAAAUAUUACUACAAUUUAAAAAGAAGUUUUUUUCUAUUUUAAAAUUAAAUUUAUAUGAUGUAAAACCUGAAUUUUCAGAAACCAUUUCUCCAGUAUUCAGAGUCACAUGGUCAUACAGAAACACAUAUUAUAUAUAAUAAUAUUUGAUCACAUAAAUGCAGUCUUGUUGAGCAUAAGAGACUUCCUUCAAAAACAGUUCAAAAACUUAGUGAUUACUGGUAGUGUACAUUUAUAAUAUGCACUCACCUGCCAAGCAAAAAUGCAAGUAGCCCUGAUUAAAAAAAAAAAAAAAAAACCUUUCUGUUCUCACAUUUGUAAAGGUAAAAGCACACAUUCAGUAUACAGGUGAAUCUCAGGGAGGUUGAUGAGUCACCACUGGAACAGGACACACCCUAUUAACAAGUGUCAACUCCAAACAUCUCCUUGGGUUCCACAGUCAUGUGGGUGUGGGAUCCAAAAAAAGCUGGUCCACAUACAACAACCGAGAGGCAAUGUGCAAACAAAAUGUAGAAAGGCAGCAGCAACCACCCCCUCCCCCAACACUCCUUUGGUCCCCUCCAGGCUAAACUUACCCGACCUGAUUUCUGCAGCCACCGUCCAAUAUAAAAGUUGGAAAAUGCAUAGUUGAACAAGCUCCAGAGCAAAUAAGAGGUCAAUGCUAGUUGUAUCCUUGGAAAGGGUGGGAAGGUAUUGUAUAUAUAAAUAAUAUGUGCAUUCUCUUUCAUUUUAAACAUGAUUUAGUGUCACUGGUAUUUAUGCAACAGUAAGCUCUAUUUAAACAGCAUGAAACAAUUUAGGACAUUAAGAACUAAUAUGAAUGUGUGCAACCGACAGGUCUUAGCGUUUCUCAAUAUGACUGAAUGAAAGGGAGGAGGAAAGGUUAAAUAAACAACUCACUGAAAUCCCAGUCUUGGCUCUUGGCAAAUACAAUUUUUUUCUAAUUGGCAUGAUUAUAUAUUUAUGAUUCAUGUUCAGCAUGAGGGUUAUAGUAUAGAGUAUAUGCAUAACAAAAACUCAAAUGAAAAGCUCAAAUGUUUUCCAUCUUUUUAUUUUUAGAUUGCUGUUAUCCAUUAAAUGCUGUUAAAGACUUUAAAGACAAAGUCAGGUUCUGUUUUCUUCCCUCUUGAGUGGUUUUGAGAGUUUUUGGCUGUUUAUGCACAGUGAUUCGUGGUUAAUUGCCACGGCUUUCUGCAUUAUGAAAUCAGGCUUAACCUGUAUCCUGAAAAGCUUAUUCCACAGGAGAGCAAUUCACUUAUGUUUAAUAUCGCUGAUAUGUGGAGGAAUUACUUGAUGGAGGCAGGGGUUUCAUCAGGAAGCUUGCAGUGGUACCCUGGAGAGGCUGCUAGAAUGAAUGUUCCUAAUGGACAGCUGGAUCCAGACAAUUCA